rnacentral:rRNA from 1 species
UGCAGUCGAACGCUGAAGCUUGGUGCUUGCACUGGGUGGAUGAGUGGCGAACGGGUGAGUAAUACGUGAGUAACCUGCCCUUGACUCUGGGAUAAGCCUGGGAAACUGGGUCUAAUACUGGAUACGACAUGUCACCGCAUGGUGGUGUGUGGAAAGGGUUUUACUGGUUUUGGAUGGGCUCACGGCCUAUCAGCUUGUUGGUGGGGUAAUGGCUCACCAAGGCGACGACGGGUAGCCGGCCUGAGAGGGUGACCGGCCACACUGGGACUGAGACACGGCCCAGACUCCUACGGGAGGCAGCAGUGGGGAAUAUUGCACAAUGGGCGAAAGCCUGAUGCAGCGACGCCGCGUGAGGGAUGACGGCCUUCGGGUUGUAAACCUCUUUCAGCACGGAAGAAGCGAAAGUGACGGUACGUGCAGAAGAAGCGCCGGCUAACUACGUGCCAGCAGCCGCGGUAAUACGUAGGGCGCAAGCGUUGUCCGGAAUUAUUGGGCGUAAAGAGCUCGUAGGCGGUUUGUCGCGUCUGCUGUGAAAGCCCGGGGCUUAACCCCGGGUGUGCAGUGGGUACGGGCAGACUUGAGUGCAGUAGGGGAGACUGGAAUUCCUGGUGUAGCGGUGAAAUGCGCAGAUAUCAGGAGGAACACCGAUGGCGAAGGCAGGUCUCUGGGCUGUUACUGACGCUGAGGAGCGAAAGCAUGGGGAG